rnacentral:rRNA from 1 species
CACCGCGGUUAUACGAGAGGCCCAAGUUGAUAGCUACCGGCGUAAAGCGUGGUUAAGAUAAAGACUAAGACUAAAGCCGAACGCCCUCAGAGCUGUUAUACGCACCCGAUGGUGAGAAGUUCAAUCACGAAAGUGGCUUUAUAAAUCCUGAACCCACGAAAGCUAAGAUA